CCUACGGGUGGCAGCAGUGGGGGAUAUUGCACAAUGGGGGAAACCCUGAUGCAGCAACGCCGCGUGGGCGAAGAAGCGCCUCGGCGCGUAAAGCCCUGUCAGCAGGGAAGAAAAUGACGGUACCUGAGGAGGAAGCCCCGGCUAACUACGUGCCAGCAGCCGCGGUAAUACGUAGGGGGCAAGCGUUAUCCGGAUUUACUGGGGGUAAAGGGGGCGUAGACGGGUUUUUAAGCCAGGAGGGAAAGCCCGGGGCCCAACCCCGGGAAAGCUUUUGAAACUGCGUGGCUUGAGUGCAGGAGGGGAGGGUGGAAUUCCUGGUGUAGCGGUGAAAUGCGUAGAUAUCAGGAGGAACACCGGUGGCGAAGGCGGCCCGCUGGACUGCAACUGACGUUGAGGCACGAAAGCGUGGGGAGCAAACAGGAUUAGAUACCCGUGUAAUC
rnacentral:rRNA from 1 species